GACGAACGCUGGCGGCGUGCUUAACACAUGCAAGUCGAGCGGAAAGGCCACUUCGGUGGUACUCGAGCGGCGAACGGGUGAGUAACACGUGAGUAAUCUGCCCCUGGCUUUGGGAUAGCCACCGGAAACGGUGAUUAAUACCGGAUACGACCACUUCUCGCAUGGGAUGGUGGUGGAAAGAUUUUUCGGCCAGGGAUGUGCUCGCGGCCUAUCAGCUUGAUGGUGAGGUAAUGGCUCACCAUGGCUUCGACGGGUAGCCGGCCUGAGAGGGUGACCAGUCUCACUGGGACUGAGACACGGACCAGACUGCUACGGUAGGCAGCAGUGGGGAAUAUUGGACAAUGGACGGAAGCCUGAUCCAGCAACGCCGCGUGAGGGAUGACGGUCUUCGGGUUGUAAACCUCUUUCAGCAGGGACGAAGCGCAAGUGACGGUACCUGCAGAAGAAGCACCGGCCAACUACGUGCCAGCAGCCGCCGCUG
rnacentral:rRNA from 1 species